rnacentral:rRNA from 1 species
AUUGAACGCUGGCGGCAGGCUUAACACAUGCAAGUCGAGCGGGGGAAGGUAGCUUGCUACUGGACCUAGCGGCGGACGGGUGAGUAAUGCUUAGGAAUCUGCCUAUUAGUGGGGGACAACAUCUCGAAAGGGAUGCUAAUACCGCAUACGUCCUACGGGAGAAAGCAGGGGAUCUUCGGACCUUGCGCUAAUAGAUGAGCCUAAGUCGGAUUAGCUAGUUGAUGGGGUAAAGGCCUACCAAGGCGACGAUCUGUAGCGGGUCUGAGAGGAUGAUCCGCCACACUGGGAAUGAGACACGGCCCAGACUCCUACGGGGGCAGCAGUGGGGAAUAUUGGACAAUGGGGGGAACCCUGAUCCAGCCAUGCCGCGUGUGUGAAGAAGGCCUUAUGGUUGUAAAGCACUUUAAGCGAGGAGGAGGCUCUUUUGGUUAAUACCCAAGAUGAGUGGACGUUACUCGCAGAAUAAGCACCGGCUAACUCUGUGCCAGCCGCCGCGGUAA